AGACUUCAGAUCAGAAGGCCCAGCGCAAAGGACGCAUGCGAGUGACGUCAUCGCGCAUUGGGACGCAGGCUGGCAGCAGACUCAGGAAACAAGGAAGUAAUGCGAGCGACUGUGGCGCUGGAACGCAAGGAGUUGUUUCCGCGUCUCAAGGGAAAAAAAAUGGCGGCGCCCCAGUGUCACGCUUUGGUACACCGGGUGUUAGCGGAGUGCCCAGUGACCAAGGCCCGGGCAUGUGAGUUCCGCUUGCCCCAUGGCCCAGUGAAGACUCCCGUGUUCAUGCCCGUCGGCACACAGGGCACCAUGAAGGGGGUGACGGCAGAUCAGCUGCGGAAUCUGGGCUGCGAGAUCUGCCUGGGGAACACCUAUCACCUCGGGAUGCGCCCGGGUCCGGAGAUUAUGAAAAAGGCGGGCGGCCUGCAUGGUUUUAUGAACUGGGGCAGAAACCUCCUUACUGACAGCGGUGGGUUUCAGAUGGUUUCCCUGGUGGAGUUGUCAAAAGUGACGGAAGAAGGGGUGCAGUUCAGAUCUCCCUACGAUGGGAAAGAGAUCCUGCUCACCCCAGAAAAAUCCAUUGAAAUCCAAAAUGCACUGGGCUCUGAUAUUAUGAUGCAACUGGAUGAUGUGGUGAGCAGCACAAUCACAGGCCCGCGUGUGGAGGAAGCCAUGCACAGGUCUAUCCGCUGGUUGGAUCGAUGUAUUGCCGCCAACAGCAACCCCGAUCGACAGAAUCUCUUUGCCAUCAUCCAAGGAGGUCUGGAUGCUGAACUGCGCAGGAAGUGUUUGCAGGAGAUGACAAAACGGGACGUCCCCGGCUUUGCCAUUGGUGGCCUAAGCGGAGGAGAAGAGAAAGAUCACUUUUGGAGAAUGGUGACCCUCAGCACUGACCAUUUGCCUCGGGACAAACCUCGUUACCUUAUGGGAGUGGGAUAUGCUACAGACCUUGUGGUAUGUGUAGCUUUGGGCUGUGAUAUGUUUGACUGUGUCUUUCCAACAAGGACAGCUAGGUUCGGAUCAGCGCUGGUUCCCUGGGGUUCCCUACAGCUAAAGAACAAACAGUUUGCUAAAGAUUUCCAGCCCAUAGACAAGAACUGUGAUUGUCCCACGUGUCAGAGGUACAGUAAGGUACAGCCGGGCCUACAUCAAUGCCUUAUUUAAAAGUGACACUGCUGCUAUGCACCAUAUUACAAUCCAUAACAUUGCUUAUCAGCUGAAUCUGAUGCGCUCGGUGAGGGACAGCAUCCUGCAGGGCCGCUUCCCCCAGUUUGUGCAGGACUUUAUGAGAACCAUGUACAGCAGCAGAGACAAGUACCCCCAAUGGGCUGUGGAUGCUCUAGAGACAGUUGGUAUCACCCUGCAGUGAUCUCUGUGCUCUUAGGAACAUGGAGUAAAUCUGCACAUUACCUGUUAUGGGCCUUUUUAUACCACAGAACUGAUACUCAGGCCGGGACCCAAUAGCCCUGUUGGGCUUUAACUUAUUGUCUGAAAUGUUCCGCUCAUAGUUCCGUUAUUCUGUUUUUAUCAAUUACCUUUUUUUUAAGAACUUUUAUUUUUAAAUAAAACGCCAAGUUUUUAAACAAUCA